UACGGGGGGGGCAAGCGUUGUUCGGAAUUACUGGGCGUAAAGCGCGUGUAGGCGGCUUUUCAAGUCGGACGUGAAAGCCCCAGGCUUAACCUGGGAAUUGCGCUCGAUACUGUUGAGCUAGAGUGUGGAAGGGGCUACUGGAAUUCCGUGUGUAGCGGUGAAAUGCGUAGAUAUACGGAGGAACACCAGCGGCGAAGGCGGGUCUCUGGGCCGAUACUGACGCUGAGGAGCGAAAGCGUGGGGAGCGAACAGG
rnacentral:rRNA from 1 species